UAUCAACCUCAAAGUUUCAGGUUUCAUUAGU
rnacentral:piRNA from 1 species